rnacentral:tRNA from 1 species
GCCCAGGUGGCGGAAUGGUAUACGCAUCGGACUUAAAAUCCGUGACCUGUAAAGGUGUGUGGGUUCGAGUCCCACCCUGGGCACCA